ACUUAUAUAGUUUAAUAAAAACAAUAGUUUUGUAAACUGUAAUUGAGUUCCUGUAAGUU
rnacentral:tRNA from 1 species